AACGAACGCUGGCGGCAGGCUUAACACAUGCAAGUCGAACGGGCGUAGCAAUACGUCAGUGGCAGACGGGUGAGUAACGCGUGGGAACGUACCUAUCGGUUCGGAAUAACCCGGGGAAGCUCGGGCUAAUACCGGAUACGUCCGCAAGGAGAAAGAUUUAUCGCCGAUAGAUCGGCCCGCGUCGGAUUAGCUAGUUGGUGAGGUAAUGGCUCACCAAGGCGAGGAUCCGUAGCUGGUCUGAGAGGAUGAUCAGCCACACUGGGACUGAGACACGGCCCAGACUCCUACGGGAGGCAGCAGUGGGGAAUAUUGGACAAUGGGCGAAAGCCUGAUCCAGCCAUGCCGCGUGAGUGAAGAAGGCCUUAGGGUUGUAAAGCUCUUUCAGCGGGGAAGAUAAUGACGGUACCCGCAGAAGAAGUCCCGGCUAACUUCGUGCCAGCCGCCGCAGUAACAC
rnacentral:rRNA from 1 species